AGGGUUGGGGUAUCUUACAGUUGGAAACUCAGGAUCUGGAACCAUCUAAAAAAAAAAAACAACCCAGUAACUACAGAUACAAAUGGGGGUAGGUUAAAUGCCUCAAAUGCCAGCUCAGCAAACCUUUGUCCAACACCAUGCAUGGGAGUAAAGUUAGUAAUUUCCAUGCCCAUUGGUGUGAAGACAUGACCAAGAGAAUCAUUUCUUUGCUGUAAACUGUACUGUACUGUACACACAUACAAGUUGCUUGAGGUAAUAAAGAGACAAAGCACUGUUAAAUUCAGGUGAGGAUCUUG
rnacentral:lncRNA from 1 species